UACAGAGGGGGCAAGCGUUAUUCGGAAUUAUUGGGCGUAAAGGGCGCGUAGGCGGCCUGACAAGUGGAUGGUGAAAUCCCUCGGCUUAACCGAGGAACUGCCAUCCAGACUGUUUGGCUUGAGACCGGGAGAGGUGAGUGGAAUUCCCAGUGUAGCGGUGAAGUGCGUAGAUAUUGGGAGGAACACCAGUGGCGAAGGCGGCUCACUGGACCGGUACUGACGCUGAUGCGCGAAAGCGUGGGGAGCAAACGGG
rnacentral:rRNA from 1 species